UACGUAGGGGGCGAGCGUUGUCCGGAUUUAUUGGGCGUAAAGAGCGUGUAGGCGGCCAGGUAGGUCUGCUGUGAAAACUCGAGGCUCAACCUCGAGACGUCGGCGGAAACCAUCUGGCUAGAGUCCGGAAGAGGCGAGUGGAAUUCCGUGGUGUAGCGGUGGAAUGCGCAGAUAGUCAGGAGGAACACCGGUGGCGAAGGCGGGUCUCUGGGCAGUAACUGACGCUGAGGAGCGAAAGCGUGGGGAGCGAACAGG
rnacentral:rRNA from 1 species